GCUCUCAGAGGCGAAGAAGGACGUGAUAAGCUGCGAAAAGCUGCGGGGAUCGGCACAUACGAAUUGAUCCGCAGAUUUCCGAAUG
rnacentral:rRNA from 1 species